rnacentral:rRNA from 1 species
UACAGAGGUGGCAAGCGUUGUUCGGAAUUACUGGGCGUAAAGGGCGCGUAGGCGGGCUGCCAAGUCUGGGGUGAAAUCCCACGGCUCAACCGUGGAACUGCCUCAGAUACUGGCGGCCUCGAGGAGGGUAGGGGCAUGCGGAACUAUGCGUGGAGCGGUGAAAUGCGUUGAUAUGCAUAGGAACUCCGGUGGCGAAGGCGGCGUGCUGGACCCUUUCUGACGCUGAGGCGCGAAAGCCAGGGGAGCGAACGGG